rnacentral:rRNA from 1 species
UACGGAGGGGGCGAGUGUUGUUCGGAAUUACUGGGCGUAAAGGGCGCGCAGGCGGCGCGGCCAGUCGAGUGUGAAAGCCCUUAGCUUAACUAAGGAAUGGCGCUCGAAACUACCGCGCUAGAGGACGGGAGAGGGAAGUGGAACUCUCGGUGUAGGGGUGAAAUCUGUAGAGAUCGAGAGGAACACCGGUGGCGAAGGCGGCUUCCUGGCCCGUAGCUGACGCUGAGGCGCGAAAGCGUGGGGAGCAAACAGG